rnacentral:rRNA from 1 species
UACGUAGGGGGCAAGCGUUGUCCGGAAUUAUUGGGCGUAAAGAGCGUGUAGGCGGCCAGGUAGGUCUGCUGUGAAAACUCGAGGCUUAACCUCGAGCUGUCGGCGGAAACCAUCUGGCUAGAGUCCGGAAGAGGAGAAUGGAAUUCCCGGUGUAGCGGUGAAAUGCGCAGAUAUCGGGAAGAACACCCGUGGCGAAGGCGGUUCUCUGGGACGGUACUGACGCUGAGACGCGAAAGCGUGGGUAGCAAACAGG